rnacentral:rRNA from 1 species
GAUGAACGCUGGCGGCGUGCCUAAUACAUGCAAGUCGAGCGAACGGACGAGAAGCUUGCUUCUCUGAUGCUAGCGGCGGACGGGUGAGUAACACGUGGAUAACCUACCUAUAAGACUGGGAUAACUUCGGGAAACCGGAGCUAAUACCGGAUAAUAUUUUGAACCGCAUGGUUCAAAAGUAAAAGACGGUCUUGCUGUCACUUAUAGAUGGAUCCGCGCUGCAUUAGCUAGUUGGUAAGGUAACGGCUUACCAAGGCAACGAUGCAUAGCCGACCUGAGAGGGUGAUCGGCCACACUGGAACUGAGACACGGUCCAGACUCCUACGGGAGGCAGCAGUAGGGAAUCUUCCGCAAUGGGCGAAAGCCUGACGGAGCAACGCCGCGUGAGUGAUGAAGGUCUUCGGAUCGUAAAACUCUGUUAUUAGGGAAGAACAUAUGUGUAAGUAACUGUGCACAUCUUGACGGUACCUAAUCAGAAAGCCACGGCUAACUACGU